CACAUGGUGAAGUCAUGGCAAAUUACCAGGAACUCAUUUGAUGUGGCUGCUCUCCAAGAGUUCAGAGUAGAUCAACUAAAACCAUUAACUUUCAAAAUAUAAUUAGUCCAACCAUAUUUUUUUCCUAGAUGAAGGAUGGGAAAAAGCCCAGCUAUAAUUCUUGGUGCACUGAAACAAGAUGUGUAAAGAGAGAAACUUAUAACCUGGGGCUUGUUUAUAUCCUUGGACUAUCAUGAUGACAACAGCACUGUUGCCUGUUGUAUUUGUCUCUCAAGAAUUGGACUGGAAGGAGAAGAAGGCAGUGAGGAUAACUGAGGAAUAAAAUCAUUCCCUCAGUCACAGGAGGCUUCUUGCAAAGCUGGAUUUAGGAUGUGAGAACACGUCAAGGACAGUUGAGGACAAGCAUAAGACAGUUAAAACUCAUAUAAUGCAAAGAAGAUGAAGUGGAACAAGGAUUGCAAAUUGUGUGACAAGAUUGUUAUCCAGUGGCCUAAACCCAAGCAAAACAAAACAUUUCCUGUUCUGUCACAAGACUCUGCUUCAAUAAAUCCAUAACAGCUCUUCCAUUACUAUGUUCACAGAAAGAAUUAGCCAAAUUCAUGGGUCCAUCCACUGGUAAAGGCACUGGCUGAACUGCAUCCUUCCAGAUAAGGAUGCUGGUACCUAUUUAUUUCUAAAAACUAUAAGGAUGUGCCAUGGAAACAACUCCCUUGUUUCCAGCACCAUUUUUCCCAGGCAUCCAUUAUGAGACACUGGGGAGACAUCAGGAUUCUGAGCUAGACAGACUUUUGAUCUAAGCCAGCAGGACAGGGGAGCACCCCACUGUCAUGCAUCCUACACUGAGUCUAGUCCUGAACCCUCAGACUAUAUCCUUUUCCUAAGGAGAACAGAAGUUGAUCAAAACUGACUUUGUCAGUUUGAAUUUUUAGUACAGUUUCUUCUGCUGCUUUGCCUUGUUCAUCAACAUGAACAUCUUGUUCAUCAAUGAUCUGUUCCAAAUCCUUUUGAAGGAAGAAUUUCUCGAAAAUAAUUAGAUUCAAUUCCUUUGUAGAGAUCUAUUAUGAGACCAACAGAGUAUUAAAUUUCAUCCUUGGGAUCUGGUCUAUUUCUUCCAAAUCAGCUUUUAUAUUCUUGUUUUGCUGCUGAUGAACUGACUGACCUUGGAUAAGCCAUGAAAUAAGCCCAACAGCAACACUCACCCGCAUAUAUGAUGAUAUCACAUUUUUAUAUGAGAGGGAAUGGACUUUUUCAAUCACUAACCUAUAGGAAGGGUGAAGUAUCAUGUUUGAUUUCAACAGUUUGUAAGUGUGAGUAGCACUGAAAAUAAUUUCACAGCUAUAUCAUAUGUA